AUUGAACGCUGGCGGCAUGCUUUACACAUGCAAGUCGAACGGCAGCGCGGGGCCACCUGGCGGCGAGUGGCGAACGGGUGAGUAAUACAUCGGAACGUACCCAGAAGUGGGGGAUAACGUAGCGAAAGUUACGCUAAUACCGCAUACGUUCUACGGAAGAAAGUGGGGGACCUUCGGGCCUCAUGCUUUUGGAGCGGCCGAUGUCUGAUUAGCUAGUUGGUGAGGUAAAGGCUCACCAAGGCGACGAUCAGUAGCUGGUCUGAGAGGACGACCAGCCACACUGGGACUGAGACACGGCCCAGACUCCUACGGGAGGCAGCAGUGGGGAAUUUUGGACAAUGGGCGCAAGCCUGAUCCAGCAAUGCCGCGUGAGUGAAGAAGGCCUUCGGGUUGUAAAGCUCUUUUGUCAGGGAAGAAACGGCUGAGGAUAAUACCUUCGGCUAAUGACGGUACCUGAAGAAUAAGCACCGGCUAACUACGUG
rnacentral:rRNA from 1 species